GACAGAGGGUGCAAGCGUUGUUCGGAAUCAUUGGGCGUAAAGGGCGCGUAGGCGGCCUGGUAAGUCGGAUGUGAAAGCCCAGGGCUCAACCUUGGAAGUGCAUCCGAAACUGCUAGGCUAGAGUAUCGGAGAGGGUGGUAGAAUUCCCAGUGUAGAGGUGAAAUUCGUAGAUAUUGGGAGGAAUACCGGUGGCGAAGGCGACCGCCUGGACGAAUACUGACGCUGAGGCGCGAGAGCGUGGGGAGCAAACAG
rnacentral:rRNA from 1 species